GACGAACGCUGGCGGCGUGCCUAACACAUGCAAGUCGAACGGAACUGUUUUGAAAGAUUUCUUCGGAAUGAAUUUGAUUUAGUUUAGUGGCGGACGGGUGAGUAACGCGUGAGUAACCUGCCUUCAAGAGGGGGAUAACAUUCUGAAAAGAAUGCUAAUACCGCAUGACAUAUCGGAAUCACAUGAUUUUGAUAUCAAAGAUUUUAUCGCUUGAAGAUGGACUCGCGUCCGAUUAGUUAGUUGGUGAGGUAACGGCCCACCAAGGCGACGAUCGGUAGCCGGACUGAGAGGUUGAACGGCCACAUUGGGACUGAGACACGGCCCAGACUCCUACGGGAGGCAGCAGUGGGGAAUAUUGCACAAUGGGGGAAACCCUGAUGCAGCGACGCCGCGUGGAGGAAGAAGGUCUUCGGAUUGUAAACUCCUGUUGUUGGGGAAGAUAAUGACGGUACCCAACAAGGAAGUGACGGCUAACUACGUGCCAGCAGCCGCGGUAAAACGUAGGUCACAAGCGUUGUCCGGAAUUACUGGGUGUAAAGGGAGCGCAGGCGGGAAGACAAGUUGGAAGUGAAAUCUAUGGGCUCAACCCAUAAACUGCUUUCAAAACUGUUUUUCUUGAGUAGUGCAGAGGUAGGCGGAAUUCCCGGUGUAGCGGUGGAAUGCGUAGAUAUCGGGAGGAACACCAGUGGCGAAGGCGGCCUACUGGGCACCAACUGACGCUGAGGCUCGAAAGUGUGGGUAGCAAACAGGAUUAGAUACCCUGGUAGUCCACACCGUAAACGAUGAUUACUAGGUGUUGGAGGAUUGACCCCUUCAGUGCCGCAGUUAACACAAUAAGUAAUCCACCUGGGGAGUACGACCGCAAGGUUGAAACUCAAAGGAAUUGACGGGGGCCCGCACAAGCAGUGGAGUAUGUGGUUUAAUUCGACGCAACGCGAAGAACCUUACCAAGUCUUGACAUCCCUUGACAGGCAUAGAAAUAUGUUUUCUCUUCGGAGCAAGGAGACAGGUGGUGCAUGGUUGUCGUCAGCUCGUGUCGUGAGAUGUUGGGUUAAGUCCCGCAACGAGCGCAACCCUUAUGGUCAGUUACUACGCAAGAGGACUCUGGCCAGACUGCCGUUGACAAAACGGAGGAAGGUGGGGAUGACGUCAAAUCAUCAUGCCCUUUAUGACUUGGGCUACACACGUACUACAAUGGCGUUAAACAAAGAGAAGCGAGACCGCGAGGUGGAGCAAAACUCAGAAACAACGUCCCAGUUCGGACUGCAGGCUGCAACUCGCCUGCACGAAGUCGGAAUUGCUAGUAAUCGUGGAUCAGCAUGCCACGGUGAAUACGUUCCCGGGCCUUGCACU
rnacentral:rRNA from 1 species